AUGUUUGGGACUCUGCUGCUGGCCACCCUGGGGCUCCUUGUUCAGGGCUCAUCAGGAGAAAUCACUGUGACUCAGUCUGCUGGAUCUCAGUCUGUUGUUCCAGGACAGAGAGUCUCCAUCACAUGUAAAGUCAGUCCAAGUACUAGUUACUGCUUCAACUGGUACCAACAGAAACCAGGAGAAGCUCCUAAACUCCUCAUUGACUGCUCUAGCAGUCGUCAGUCUGGAGUUUCUGAUCGUUUCAGUGGAACAAGCUCUGGAAAUACUGACUUCACUCUGACCAUCAGUGGAGUCCAGACUGAAGAUGCAGCAGUUUAUUACUGUCAGAGUGUUCACUACAUCAACAGUCAGUGGUUGUUCACACAGUGA